rnacentral:rRNA from 1 species
CUCCAUAUCGGCGGUGGAAACUGAUGAACUAGAGGGUGGUAGGGGUCACGGGAAUUCCCAGUGUAGCGGUGAAAUGCGUAGAUAUUGGGAAGAACACCAGCGGCGAAAGCGCGUGACUGGGCCAUUACUGACACUCAUGGACGAAAGCUAGGGGAGCGAAAGGGAUUAGAUACCCCUGUAGUCCUAGCCGUAAACGAUGGACACUAGGUGUUGCCCGAUCGACCCGGGCAGUGCCGUAGCUAACGCGUUAAGUGUCCCGCCUGGGGAGUACGCACGCAAGUGUGAAACUCAAAGGAAUUGACGGGGGCCCGCACAAGCGGUGGAGUAUGUGGUUUAAUUCGAUGCAACGCGAAGAACCUUACCAGGGCUUGACAUGUCGCGAAUCCCCUUGAAAGGGGGGAGUGCCUUCGGGAGCGCGAGCACAGGUGGUGCAUGGCUGUCGUCAGCUCGUGUCGUGAGAUGUUGGGUUAAGUCCCGCAACGAGCGCAACCCACGUUUCUAGUUGCCAGCAUUCAGUUGGGCACUUUAGAGAGACUGCCGGUGACAAACCGGAGGAAGGUGCGGAUGACGUCAAGUCAGCAUGCCCCUUACGUCCUGGGCUACACACGUACUACAAUGCUUCGGACAGAGGGUUGCCAGCCCGCGAGGGUGCGCUAAUCCCGUAAACCGAGGCUCAGUUCAGAUUGCAGGCUGCAACUCGCCUGCAUGAAGGCGGAAUCGCUAGUAAUCGCCGGUCAGCAUACGGCGGUGAAUACGUUCCCGGGCCUUGUACACACCGCCCGUCACACCAUGGGAGUUGGCCACGCCCGAAG